AGGACGAACGCUGGCGGCGCGCUUAACACAUGCAAGUCGAGCGAGAACCGGGGCUUCGGCCCCGGGGACAGCGGCGAACGGGUGAGUAACACGUGGAUAACCUGCCCUCGGCACCGGGAUAGGACCCCGGGGGAAAACCCGGAUUAAUACCGGAUCGGCCCUUCCGACUUUCGAGUCGGUCGGCAAAGGUAGCUUCGGCCUCCGGCCGAGGAUGGGUCCGCGGCGGAUUAGCUUGUUGGUGGGGUAAUGGCCUACCAAGGCUCCGAUCCGUAGCUGGUCUGAGAGGACGAUCAGCCACACUGGGACUGAGACACGGCCCAGACUCCUACGGGAGGCAGUAGUGGGGAAUCUUGCGCAAGUGGGACGAAAGCCUAGACGCAGACGACGCCGCGUGAGGGACGACGGCCUUCGGUUAGUAACCUCUUUACGAGGAGGGACGAAG
rnacentral:rRNA from 1 species